CCCUUAGAUGUUCUGGGCCGCACGCGCGCUACACUGAUGCAUUCAACGAGUCUAAAACCUGCUCUGAUAGGGGUGGGUAAUCUUUUGAAUGUGCAUCGUGAUUGGGAUAGAUGAUUGCAAUUUUUCAUCUUCAACGAGGAAUGCCUAGUAAACGCAAGUCAUCAGCUUGCAUUGAUUACGUCCCUGCCCUUUGUACACACCGCCCGUCGCUCCUACCGAUUGAAUGAUACGAUGAAUAUCAUGGAUUGAGGAUGUAAGCAGGUUCGCCUGUCUUCAUCUUCGAGAAGUGAAGUAAAUCUUAUCAUUUAGAGGAAGGAGAAGUCGUAACA
rnacentral:rRNA from 1 species